rnacentral:ncRNA from 1 species
UUAAAAACAAUGAUGCGAAGUAGUAGGAAAGUCGUUUUAUCAGAGAGCUACUGGGUGGUGUGAAGUAGUAAAAUGGAUUUUGUGAACUCGUCGCUAAGUUCCAGGCUGAACUCAUAGUAGGUCAUGGCGGGUCUUCCCGUUAUAGAAGUUUGAGUGUGUAGGGGAUUCCCUGCAAAUAAGAGUGGUAACGCGGAAAUAGAACCUUUCGUCUCUUGG